UACAGAGGGUGCGAGCGUUAAUCGGAAUUACUGGGCGUAAAGCGCGCGUAGGCGGCUUUGCAAGUCGGGUGUGAAAUCCUGGAGCUCAACUCCAGAACUGCCUUCGAUACUGGCGAUCUUGAGUCCGGAAGAGGUGAGUGGAACUCCUAGUGUAGAGGUGGAAUUCGUAGAUAUUAGGAAGAACACCAGUGGCGAAGGCGGCUCACUGGUCCGGUACUGACGCUGAGGUGCGAAAGCGUGGGGAGCAAACAGG
rnacentral:rRNA from 1 species